rnacentral:piRNA from 1 species
GGAGCCCACCACAGGCAGAGGCAUGCUCC